rnacentral:rRNA from 1 species
CAUUCAUAGAGUGUAAAGGCAUAAGGGAGCUUGACUGCGAGACCUACAAGUCGAGCAGGGUCGAAAGACGGACUUAGUGAUCCGGUGGUUCCGCAUGGAAGGGCCAUCGCUCAACGGAUAAAAGCUACCCCGGGGAUAACAGGCUUAUCUCCCCCAAGAGUUCACAUCGACGGGGAGGUUUGGCACCUCGAUGUCGGCUCAUCGCAUCCUGGGGCUGUAGUCGGUCCCAAGGGUUGGGCUGUUCGCCCAUUAAAGCGGUACGCGAGCUGGGUUCAGAACGUCGUGAGACAGUUCGGUCCCUAUCCGUCGUGGGCGUAGGAAAUUUGAGAGGAGCUGUCCUUAGUACGAGAGGACCGGGAUGGACAUACCUCUGGUGUACCAGUUGUCGUGCCAACGGCAUAGCUGGGUAGCUAUGUGUGGACGGGAUAAGUGCUGAAAGCAUCUAAGCAUGAAGCCCCCCUCAAGAUGAGAUUUCCCAACUUCGGUUAUAAGAUCCCUCAAAGAUGAUGAGGUUAAUAGGUUCGAGGUGGAAGCAUGGUGACAUGUGGAGCUGACGAAUACUAAUCGAUCGAAGACUUAAUCAA